GCAAAGGAUUCGCUUUGGAACGGGUUUUGGGGUGUGCCUGCUUCCUCCUCUCGGUCAGGACCGGGCACAGAAACCGUGGUGCGGCUCCAUGCAGAAGCGCUAGGUAGCUGGAAACAGAGGAAGCUCUUUGUGGACUGAGGAAAGCUCUCCAAGAUACAGUAUAUUAAUCUGCUCUGGCUGCCAUAACAAAAUACCGGAAAUUGGGUGGCUUAAACAACAGAAAUGUAUUUUCUGGAAGCUGAAAGUCCAAGAUCAAAGUUGCCAAUGGAGGGCAAACUGAGAAGCUUAUUUUCCUGGUGCAUCUAGUUGCUCAAUGAUAAAUAAAACAUUAU